rnacentral:misc_RNA from 1 species
GAUGAAGAACGUAGCGAAAUGCGAUAAGUAAUGUGAAUUGCAGAAUUCAGUGAAUCAUCGAAUCUUUGAACGCACCUUGCACCCUUUGGCAUUCCGAAGGGUAUGCUCGUUUGAGUGUCAUUGUACUCUCACACUCUCCGAUCCUAUGGAUUCGGGGAGCGGUGGACUUGGGUGUUGCUGCCUUUCCCUGUGGCUCACCUCAAAUGCGUCAGUGCACCUCUUGGUUGGACAUAGUACGGCGUGAUAAGUGUCUUCGCCGGCACCUCGCAAGAGGGUGGCCGAUCGGGAGCUCUGCGCUUUAAAACCGUCUUCGGACAAUUUCUGACAUCUUGACCUCAAAUCGAGUAGGACUACCCGCUGAACUUAAGCAUAUCAAUAAGCGGAGGA